rnacentral:lncRNA from 1 species
UAUAUGUAUGCCAACACGAAACAGCAUACAGGACAGUCUACAUGUACAAACAACCCAUUCAAAUUGACAGCAAGAAUUUGAAUUUCUACAACUCAGAUAGUGAAUAUUGAUAUAUAUCUUUCUCUUGGCUUUCACAAUUACGAAAAAGAGGUCAGCAGGGUUGAGAGUUUUCAAACUUCGAGUUCACGGUGAAGAGUAUGUCCCAGAGAAUUUGAAUUUCUACAACUCAGAUAGUGAAUAUUGAUAUAUAUCUUUCUCUUGGCUUUCACAAUUACGCAAAAGAGGUCAGCAGGGUUGAGAGUUUUCAAACUUCGAGUUCACGGUGAAGAGUAUGUCCCAGA